AGCCACCGGCCCCGGCUGGUGCGCGCCCGCCAGAGGCUCCGCAAACUCUUGAUGUUAACGUCGUCUGAGUACUAUAUAAUAGUUAAAACUUUCAACAACGGAUCUCUUGGUUCUGGCAUCGAUGAAGAACGCAGCGAAAUGCGAUAAGUAAUGCGAAUUGCAGAAUUCAGUGAGUCAUCGAAUCUUUGAACGCACAUUGCGCCCUGUGGUAUUCCGCAGGGCAUGCCUGUUCGAGCGUCAUUUCAACCCUCAAGCUCCGCUUGGUGUUGGGCCCUGCCCCCGCGGCCGGCCCCAAAGACAGUGGCGGCGCCGCUUGGCCCUAAGCGUAGUACAUCUCUCGCUCUAGGACCCGGCGGUGGCCUGCCAGAACCCCAAACUCAUGUGGUUGACCUCGGAUCAGGUAGGGAUACCCGCUGAACUUAAGCAU
rnacentral:rRNA from 1 species